ACAGACUUGGAUAAAAAUGUUCACAGUCCCACAAGUUUUAAUGUCUAGCUGAGUGGGCGGAGCUACGCAGUGUACAUGGCCCAAACUGAGCACUGGCAGAGCUGUAGAUGGCUCAGAAAAGGGCGGAGCUUAUUGACUCACAGGCUGGUAUAGUUUAUUGAGCUUCACAGCUGCUUCACCGGCUGAAGACUAAAUAGCUCAGUGGCUAUUAAUGCUCUUUAGACAAGCUCAAGUAUUGCCUGUUUUUUUCGUUCGUCUCGGAUCUUUUAGUUCCUUUUUGCCACUCUUGGUCAGCUGGACUAAAACUUUUGUGCAGUGCGAGUUGCGCAGAUGUGAGUUUCUCUCAGGACGCCACACAGGAAGCUGACUGUGUUUAACAGUGCUGUAACAUCAUGGCUCGAGCCGCUAUUCCCAUGGACAUCAUUGAGGAGGAUACAAGAAAACAUGGACGUCUGACUGAUGAGGAUGACAGUCACCCGUUGAUUAAAUACUACAAAGCCACCACGCUGAUUCCUGACAAACCGCCACCUCUGCAUCGACUGCUGGACAGACAGCCAGCAGCGUGGGCCUCUGUGCAGGUCACCAGUGGGAUCCUGAGUUUCGGUCUCGGUGUGGUGUUCGCUGUGGCGUUUGGAAUAGACAAAUUUCUCCUCACCCUCUUUAGGGUUCCUCUCCUGACUGGAAUAAUGUUUUUGGUUGCUGGAUUUUUGUCCAACCUGCUGCAUAAACACCCUGGACUGCUACAGGUCUGCUUUUACUCCAACAUACUGUGCCUGGCCGUGGCCACCACUGGAGCCAUACUGCUGUGCGUCGAUUUAGCCAAACAUCAGCCAGACAAACUGCACUUCCAGGUGGAAAUCAUGGUGCUGUGUGUGACACUGUUGGACAUGGUGGUCUCCGCUAUUCUCAUCAUCUUCAUGUAUGCUGAGAAACGCAACCUCGAGAAAAACAGCUCUAGUUCCAGCACUCGGCGAGAAUAA
ensembl:lncRNA